UACGAAGGGGGCGAGCGUUGUUCGGAUUUACUGGGCGUAAAGGGCGCGCAGGCGGCUCAUUUUGUCAGGCGUGAAAGCCCCGGGCUUAACCUGGGAACUGCGUUUGAUACGGAUGGGCUAGAGUUCGGGAGAGGAGCGUGGAAUUCCCAGUGUAGAGGUGAAAUUCGUAGAUAUUGGGAAGAACACCGGUGGCGAAGGCGGCGCUCUGGACCGAGACUGACGCUGAGGCGCGAAAGCGUGGGGAGCGAACCGG
rnacentral:rRNA from 1 species